UGGGAUUAUAGGCAUACACCACUAUACCCAGCUGUUUCCUAUUGUUUAAAACCUCUCAGUUCCUUGCUGUUUGUUAUGUCAGCCCUGAGAAACCAAUGGACAUAACGACACAUCUGUGGAUGGAGUUGGGGCUGGCUCUGCCUAUAGAGCCAGAGAGCCCUCUCACUCAGCCUCCACUUUGUGGAGUGGACGAAGCACCCAGCAAGCCAGGCACAGGAAGGACAUGUUGGAUCAGGAGCCGGGAAAGGCUUCCAGGGAAGAGGAGUGGCCAUUCCUGUGAGUACGAGACCAAGCUUCCUGCACUGUGAGUGUCCCCUGCUUCCUGGCCCUGCUUUGCAGCGCUGUCAGAGCACUUCACACUCCAGUGACAAGCCAGAAGGGAAGCGGACAGAGCUGGGGUGGUGACGGCUCUCUCAGGCUGCCUGUCCCUCCGGUGUCCGCCGUGAGAGGAGAGUCCACUGGCUGCGUGAAUCCUGCCGUCCAUUUGGGGAGGGAAAGCUAGAUGUUUGCCGCUGACUGGGAUGAAUGAAUGCUGUGCUGUUCAGAAGCUCAGGGAGAAGCAGAACCCGGA
rnacentral:lncRNA from 1 species